rnacentral:rRNA from 1 species
UACGUAGGGGGGCUAGCGUUGUCCGGAAUCAUUGGGCGUAAAGCGCGUGUAGGCGGCCCGGUAAGUCCGCUGUGAAAGUCGGGGGCUCAACCCUCGGAUGCCGGUGGAUACUGUCGGGCUAGAGUCCGGAAGAGGCGAGUGGAAUUCCUGGUGUAGCGGUGAAAUGCGCAGAUAUCAGGAGGAACACCGAUGGCGAAGGCAGCUCGCUGGGACGGUACUGACGCUGAGACGCGAAAGCGUGGGGAGCAAACAGG